rnacentral:lncRNA from 1 species
AAAAUUUAAAAAAAGAAAAGCGCUGAGGCAGUGAUGUCCUUUAGUAGGCAGACUGCUGGUCUCACUUCCUUUAGGAAGCUAGGAUGGACUGAACUCCCCGAUUCUACCUUCCAGGUGUUAAAGAGUACAGGCUGAUGCCACCAUGUUGGUUCUGGUACAUUUUGAUUGGGCAUUAAGAGGGGCUCCAUUUACUGUGGACAGUAUGGGGGAAAGGAGAGAGUUGGGGCUCAAAUGUCUUCUGGGUUAAUUAGAGCAUUGUGUCAGACAGACAGAUCAAACAUAGGUCAUUCCUAGAUCCUCUGGAACUGCGGCUGGUGCCACAGUAAAGCCCCCGUGAGCCCACCAGGCAGCAGGCAGAGUCCCGCAGAUUCCCUAAAGCACCUUCAUGCCGUUUUCAUCUCUUUGCUAUCUCUAUUGUCAUUGAUUCUUUUUACAAGUAUGUGUGUCUAUUUGUGCACCACAUGUGUGUGCAUGCCCAAAGAAUCCAGAAAAGGGACUCAGACUGAACUUAGAGGCAACUGUGAGCUGCCUGGUAUGGGUGCUGGGAAUCUAACCCGAAUCCUCUGCAGAAGCAGUAGGUACUCUCCUUGCUGGGCAACCUCUCCAGGCCUAUUUGCGAUUUUUAACUUUCUAUCAUCUGAUUGGACAGAGAAAGGCAUAGGACAUUAGUACAGGACAACUCAGUGUGCCUGUGAAGGUGUUUCCAGAGAAGAGGAACCAAAGGGACAGAACCUGCUCUGGAUCUGGGUGGCACUGUCACACAGACCUCAGGCCUCGGUGGAAUUUAAGAGGGGGAGGUGCGGGUAGGGGGGCUGGGGUGUACCUUCAUUUAGGUGUAAUUCUUGCCUAUUAUAUGAAUGGCCUUGUGUAAAAACCCAGUUAACCGGAAAAGAAAACAAAAACAAGAAGGCAGAGAUGGAGGCAGACAGCCUGAGUGGGUAUCUGUGCUCCCUGCUGCCGAGGUUGAGGCUCCGUGGUGUGGAAAGCUCUGUUCUGCCAACCUUCCCUGGCCAGGAGCUGGUCUGAACUCAGGAGUGAAGACGCUUUCCACCCGGGGACGGUGAUGCACAGCUGUGACCCCAGCACGGGAGAGGCCAAGGCAGGAGGAGUCCCUAACGUUUGUACUCAGUCAGAGCUACAUAGCAAGACAGGUAUCUGCCACCAAGACUGGAACUGAGUUUGAUCUCUGGACCCUAAAUGGGAAUCAGGCAGAAUUUGAAGCGGCCACAUCAAAUCUACAGUCAAGAGCAGAGAAAAGUGUGUACACAUUUGCUUGGGUAACUGUGGGGAGUUGCAGGCUGGUAUCCAGUCAAGCUGAGGUCUGAACCCCAACAGUUGUAAUUCACCUUCAUGACACGGUAGGCGUUCCCUUAUGCUCCUGGAACUCUGGCCCCUGCCUAAGUUACUGCCCACCACAGCCCCCACAAGAGAAGCAUGGUCAGUAGUCACAUAAGCAAUGGCUCAAGCUUCUGACCUUCAGGCUAAACUCCUCCCCAGUUACCUAGCAACAGUGAAGACCAUAAAAAGGGGUGCUCAGCCCCCACCUCGCUCUUACUCUCUUACUCUUACUCCUUUGUCCUCUCACUCUCACUUCUUUUUCCUCUUCCCUUUCUCUUUGUCCUCUCCUCUCCUCCUCUCUCUCUCUAUCUAGCCUUUCCUCUCCCCCCUUAUCUCCUUCCCUUGCAUUUCUAUAAUAAAUCUCUAAAACCAUAGAGUGUCUCUGCUCCAUCAAGGCCCGCUGCACACUCUGGUCAGUGUUGGGAACUUCUUCCCUCAUCCCUCUCUCCUACAACCCUGGGGCUUUAGCAAGGUAGCUCCAGGGUCCACGGUUGGGGGCUGCCCCCUUUCCCUUCCCUGCUGCGUGGGUCAGGCAUGCUCACCCGAGUGGAAAAGCGUCUAGCAGCUCUGCCUUCGUCUGCCUGCCCAGAGCACAGGAACUCUGGCCGGACGUUAGGCCCCUUUUCCUCCCCCACUUUUUCCCAGGCCCCCCCCUUUAUUUUGUUCCCAACAGGUAACUGUUUCAGCUUGAAACCUCGGGGCUCAGCUCAAGACCCCUGUGUAGGGAAUGGUGUUGCCCAGAGUAGGCUGGGUCUUCUCACUUAAGACAACACCUAGAUCAUAAUAACUCCAGUACUGACUAUGGAAGAAAG